rnacentral:rRNA from 1 species
AGAGUUUGAUCCUGGCUCAGGAUGAACGCUAGCGGCAGGCCUAACACAUGCAAGUCGAGGGGCAGCGGGGAUAAGCUUGCUUAUCCGCCGGCGACCGGCGCACGGGUGCGCAACGCGUAUAGAAUCUGCCUCGUACUGGGGAAUAGCCCAGAGAAAUUUGGAUUAAGGCCCCAUGGUAUGUAAGGGUGGCAUCACCUUUACAUUAAAGGCUACGGUACGAGAUGACUAUGCGUCCCAUUAGUUAGUUGGUAAGGUAACGGCUUACCAAGGCAGCGAUGGGUAGGGGCCCUGAGAGGGGGAUCCCCCACACUGGUACUGAGACACGGACCAGACUCCUACGGGAGGCAGCAGUGAGGAAUAUUGGACAAUGGGCGGGAGCCUGAUCCAGCCAUGCCGCGUGCAGGAAGACUGCCCUAUGGGUUGUAAACUGCUUUUUUACGGGAAGAAACACCCCCACGUGUGGGGGCUUGACGGUACCGUACGAAUAAGGAUCGGCUAACUCCGUGCCAGCAGCCGCGGUAAUACGGAGGAUCCAAGCGUUAUCCGGAAUCAUUGGGUUUAAAGGGUCCGUAGGCGGACGUCUAAGUCAGUGGUGAAAUUCUGCAGCUCAACUGUAGAACUGCCAUUGAUACUGGUCGUCUUGAAUCGUUGUGAAGUGGCUAGAAUAUGUAGUGUAGCGGUGAAAUGCUUAGAUAUUACAUAGAAUACCGAUUGCGAAGGCAGGUCACUAACAACGCAUUGACGCUGAUGGACGAAAGCGUGGGGAGCGAACAGGAUUAGAUACCCUGGUAGUCCACGCCGUAAACGAUGGAUACUAGCUGUCCGGCGCACAUUGGUGUGCUGGGUGGCCAAGCGAAAGUGAUAAGUAUCCCACCUGGGGAGUACGUUCGCAAGAAUGAAACUCAAAGGAAUUGACGGGGGCCCGCACAAGCGGUGGAGCAUGUGGUUUAAUUCGAUGAUACGCGAGGAACCUUA